rnacentral:tRNA from 30 species
CAGUAGCUCAGUUGGUUAGAGCACCUGACUGUUAAUCAGGGGGUCGUUGGUUCAAGCCCAUCCU